rnacentral:ncRNA from 1 species
UGAUAGCUGUGAAGCGUGAGGUUGCUACUGCCCCCGAACGAAGUUCGAGGGAGCCCGCCGGCUUUGAGGCAUCAAAAGAAUCCGUAAGGAUUCUUACCUUGUAGCAUGGUGAGUAUAGUAGGUUUUCCGUGGAGCGAAUGUCAAGUUAGGAAACUGGCGACAA